rnacentral:misc_RNA from 1 species
GAUGAAGAACGCAGCGAAAUGCGAUACGUAGUGUGAAUUGCAGAAUUCCGUGAACCAUCAAAUCUUUGAACGCUUAUUGCGCUCGAGGCUUCGGCCGAGAGCAUGUCUGCCUCAGCGUCGGUAUUACCCCUCGCUUCUCAACCCCAGGUUGAUGCCUGCCUGCCUUUGCAGUUGGCUAGAAGCGGAUCUGGCUUUCCCAAUUGCCUUUGGUAGUUGGGUCAGCUGAAGCACAGAGGCUUGAGCAAGGACCCUUAUUGGGCUUCAACUGGAUAGGUAGAACUGGUCUUAGGACCAACUACACGAAGUUGUUGCUUGUGGUCUUUGUCUGGAGGCCAGCAGGAAACCUUUAUACCUUCGACCUGAGCUCAGGCAAGAUUACCCGCUGAACUUAAGCAUAUCAAUAAGCGGAGGA